rnacentral:rRNA from 1 species
GAAUGCUGACAUAAGUAACGAUAAAGCGGGUGAAAAGCCCGCUCGCCGGAAGACCAAGGGUUCCUGUCCAACGUUAAUCGGGGCAGGGUGAGUCGACCCCUAAGGCGAGGCCGAAAGGCGUAGUCGAUGGGAAACGGGUUAAUAUUCCCGUACUUGGUGUUACUGCGAAGGGGGGACGGAGAAGGCUAUGUUGGCCGGGCGACGGUUGUCCCGGUUUAAGCGUGUAGGUGUGUGUUCCAGGUAAAUCCGGUUCACUUUAACACUGAGGCGUGAUGA